rnacentral:sRNA from 1 species
UUUUAGCCCUGAUGGAAGUGGCAUCCUUUUUAUUUUUUUCUUUAAAAAUAAAAAGAUAGAACGUACAGCAGGAUUAAGC